rnacentral:rRNA from 1 species
CGAGACCUCAGGUCAGGCGGGGCUACCCGCUGAAUUUAAGCAUAUCAAUAAGCCGGAGGAAAAGAAACUAACAAAGGAUUCCCUUA